rnacentral:lncRNA from 10 species
CUGAGUCCGUGGAUCAUUCUGGGUUACCUACUUUGGAAAAGAGUUUCAUGUCAACCUUUGGUUUAAAAUAUGCUACCCCAAAGGAUACACAGGUCAUAUACCAGAAGAAUUACUGCUGCACCCGGCAGAAGGAAACAAUGACAUGGGACUGCAGCCAGCUCCUGCUCCUGACUAAAUGUAUGGGCAUGGGCAAGCUGUUUGAUCUCUGUGAACCUCCUAGUCUUCAUUUCUAAAAUGGGUGUGGAUAAUGACACCAACCUGAUAGGAUUACUUUGAGAAUUACAAACAAUAAUAUAUAUUUUCUUAGCUGAUAGUGGCAUAAGAUGAGCAUUCAAUACAUGAUAGCUCUUAUGAUUUAUGUAUUGCUAUGUCUAUUACUAAUAUUAGUAAUAAUUUUAUUUUCUUAUAAAAGAUUUUUAUAGAAUAGUGUUAGCUUAUAGGGAAAGGUGCAACAGUUGAAAUAUUACUUUUAUUUUAAAUAAUGUAUUCAAUCCUCUCAACACAUUAUUGGAACGGUAGGAUAUUAACUAUUAUUUAACCAAGAAGGAAAUUUUUGUUAGUCAAUGUGUCGAUCUUGAUUUGGAGUCUUAAGAUUCCAAACCAUACUGCCUCUUAAGAGAAGCCACUAACUGCUGAGAAUUUACUUCUCUUGGGGACUUGUUUUAUUUGAAAUAAAACCAUCACCAUAUUUGCACGCUGCAGACUUACCAUAGUAUUUUCCUUUUAGAAUCCUUUCUCAGUUGAUCAGUUACUUAGAGGUCAUAGGAAUAUUACUCACCCCUAGAACAGGAAGCCCAUACCUAUUAGAUGUAUUCAACAUCUUCACUAUUCUUUAGAAAAU